rnacentral:lncRNA from 1 species
GAAGGGUGUAUUACUCUGCAUAAUCUCCAACUGGUCUCAGCAGUUCUGGGCACUCCAUACUGUCUUCCCCUUUUCUGAUAACAGAGCUUCGGGACAUGUUUUUUAUGGGCAGAUGAUUUUUGAGCUUCUGAGAAUUUUAGAACAGAUUCUGGUUUCCAGAAAUACUGUUUGAAAUUGUUUGGAAUCUUUUCCUUUGUAGGAUUUCAAAAUGAAUGCACUCCUAUGUCUGGGUUGUAUUGUUUGUUGUUUUGCUUUUCUUGCCUAUUAAUUCCGUGUCUGAGUCACUGAGUUUUUACUUUUCUGGUUAGGUUGACUUAUAGUUAAUGUGACUUGGCCUGAUAUUUUUCAAAAGACUUACACAGAUAUGUAGUGUAUUUGUGAAUAUUUAUAUUUUGUUAAUCACUGGAUUUUACUUGUUUACUAUUAAUAGACUCUAGUGUUUACCACCAGCUCCUUAGAAAGCUCCAGGGUUAGACUAGACUUCUCAGAGGUCCCUGUGAUGAUGGCCAAAAAGGACAGGGAGUUUCCAUCUCAGGUCGGGUCCGGUGGGAGACUGCAGCGGGUUCUCCUUGAUCGAAGUGUUCUCACAGUACUCGUGAUUACAGGGUCAUAAAACAAACCAUGCUUUGUAUGCACACUGGAAGUUGUUGUUUUGUUUUGUUUUUCCUUCAAAACAGGGUUUCUCUGUGUAGCCCUGGCUGUCCUGGAACUCACUUUGUAGACCAGGCUGGCCUCGAACUCAGAAAUCUGCCUGCCUCUGCCUCCCAAGUGCUGGGAUUAAAGACGUGCGCCACCACUGCCCAGCACACUGGAAGUUUUUACAAGCCUUGUAAAUUUGAUAUUGCUGUCUUAGGUAUAUUGUGAAGAAAUCUAGAUUGUCCUGUGCUUUUUACUCUAUAUUUUUUAUUGUAUGAUAUAGAAUACAUUUCAAAAUUUAUCACCUUAGCACAUGGUUACGCUUAUCUUUAUUUUUGUUGCAACAACAUAAAGAACAUUACUUACUAUGACAAAGGUUACAUGCAUUUAUUUAGCUUUUUUUUAACCUUUUUGUUUUGUAUUUGAGUCGGUGUCUCACUCUGUAACCCUAGCUUGGCCUGGAACUCACAGAGCUCCUUCCUCUGCCUCCCAGCCCUGAGGCUCCUGCCCGUUCUUGCGUGGCAGGGGAGAUGAGUGAGUACACGCUCUAAAAAUCUCUUUUUUAAAAUUUAAAUCUCUUCUCAAUUACUCUCCAGUGUUGCUGGUCAGAGCUUGUGCACUGUUUGGCUCUUCCAUGCCUUUUCUUGCCAUCACAGCUUCUUCCAGCUUGGGGUGGGCUUCUGUCCAGUCCCCCUCCCCUUUCUCCUAUUAGAGCAGUUCUAUUUGCUUGGUUUUUUUGAGAUAGGGUUUCAUGGUUUCUGGUUCCAUUCCCUAUGUGGCUGUGGUUGGCCUUGAGUGCCUGAUGCUCUUGCUUCUACCUCCCCGUUGCUGGGAUCACAAGAGCAUCCCACCUUGUUUGCUUAGCAGUGAGACUCCUGAAGGGUGUACUUAGGUGUACAAUAAAGGUGCUUACUUCACAGUUGUUAUUUGAAAUGUAAUUUGCUCACACAGGGAGUAAUAAAUUUGGAGUGUCUCAGGAGAGAAAGCCUGGGAUUUUCUGACAGGCAGUUUUGCUCUAUUACUGUCUCCACUCUGUACUGUGUGACCAGAUAUGUGUAGAGUCCUGCAAGAACACCGAGUGGCUUCUGUCUGUAUUUUAUAGUUUCUUAGUUCACUCCUUAGGCAAAGCAAACACAGUAAUCCAGGGCCUGAGGUCCAGACAGCCCAUGGACCCAGAACAGAUUCCCUAUCUGGUUUAUGCCUCCAGCUGUUACCGUUGCCUCUACAGCACUGGCUCCCGUCUUUCCAUCGCUGCGACCCUCUAAUACGGUUCCUCUUGCUGUGGUGACCCUCAGCUGUAAGAUUAUCUUCACUGCUACUUCAUAGCUAUGAUUUUGCAUAAGUAUCAGUAUUUUCUGAUGGUGUUAGGCAACCUCUGUGAAAGGGCUGUUGGACCACUGUGGAAUGGUUGGCCCUACCUCAGCCUGAUAACCCUAUGAUGGUAAACGUGUUUUGUUCUCUGCUCUUGUCCUGAAGAGCCAACCAGGGUGCAGGAUACAGUAGAUUAGUUGUGUAUGCUUCUCUAACAAACCUGAACUCCAGUAAAUCACACUUUUCUGCUCCAGGCUCAUAAGAGUUGUUUUGGUACCAUCUUUCUUUCUUUCUUUCUUUCUUUCUUUCUUUCUUUCUUUCUUUCUUUCUUUCUUUCUUUUAAUUUUAAAAAAAUUUUUAUGUCUGUGGGUACACUGUAGCUGUCUUCAGACACCCCAGAAGAGGGCAUCAGACCCCAUUACAGAUGGUUGUGAGCCACCAUGUGGUUGCUGGGAAUUGAACUCAGGACCUUUGGAAGAGCAGCCAGUGCUCGCAAGUGCUGAGCCAUCUCUCCAGUCCGGGACCAUGUUUCUAAUAGGCCUUUUUGUUCACUUGUCUGCUUUGAUUUUGAAAUAGGGCCUGCCCUGUACUCUAGAUGUACCUACGACUUGCCACUCUCCUGCCUAAGCCUCUGGAUUGCUAGGAUUCCAGUUCUACACCACCUCACCUGGCCUGGAAGGUGGAUUUUAGAAAACUGUCAAAGAUGAACAAACUUUAAAGAAAUCCAGAGUUAGAAAACCAGAUUAAUCAGGGCUGAUUUAUUCAUUUUAUGUUGGUGUAUGUUCAAUUUUAUACACUCAAUUACACAUUCAAUUCUAUCAAAGAACCAGUUAUACUAAUGAUUUCUUAAAUGAAUAUUUUCCAAACCUUGUUUAAACUCUUUGAGUUACAAAAGUUGAAUCUGCAUAUAAUCUUUCAGUUUGUCAAAUGAGCUGUGAGUUUUCAGGAAAUCUAUCCAUUUGCUAGUGAUAGGAAUGUUACAACAUGUUCAAACUGUUACUUAAGUUUAUUAUUUUAGCAAUACUGCCACAUAUGAAGAGAUAUAAGGGAAGUGGUAAAUUAUAAUGAGGAAUAGUUAAUGUGACAGGACCCAAAAGUGUAUUUCAGUCCUUGUCCCUGGAGGUCUGUCAUGGUAGUUUUUGGAAGACAUCUAGUGAGUCACUGUUUUAUUUAGUUCAGUGGCCAUUAUAGCAAUGAUACUGAUUUUGUUUUAUAUGGCAGAUUUACGGGGCACAUGAAAAAUAGAAUUUGCAGGCUAGGGAUGUAGCUAAGUUGGUAGAGUGCUUACUUGUGGAGAGGCAAGUUCGAUCCCCAGCACCUCAUAAAGUGGGUUUAGUGGCUUGUGCCUGUAAUCCCAGCACUCAGGAGUGGGGAGGCAGGUGGACCCAAUAUUAUCCUGUGUUGCUAUUAAUAGCAAAGUCAAGGCCAGGUUGGGUUAUAUGAGACUAUGAGACUCUAUC